rnacentral:tRNA from 1 species
ACCUGCUUAGGUCAGUUGGUAGAGCGCUCCACUGGAAAUGGAGAGGUUUAGGGUUCAAUUCCAGGACCAGGCG